rnacentral:rRNA from 1 species
UACGAAGGGGGCUAGCGUUGUUCGGAAUUACUGGGCGUAAAGCGCACGUAGGCGGAUUGUUAAGUUAGGGGUGAAAUCCCAGGGCUCAACCCUGGAACUGCCUUUAAUACUGGCAAUCUCGAGUCCGAGAGAGGUGAGUGGAAUUCCGAGUGUAGAGGUGAAAUUCGUAGAUAUUCGGAGGAACACCAGUGGCGAAGGCGGCUCACUGGCUCGGUACUGACGCUGAGGUGCGAAAGUGUGGGGAGCGAACAGG